rnacentral:miRNA from 1 species
AACCUCAUUGACCGGAAGGAAUUCCUUCCGGUUGAUGAGGUAUAACAACCUCAUUGAUGGAAGGAAUCCCUUUGGAUCAAUGAGGUAUAAAAACUUCAUUGACUGAAGGAAUCCCUUCUGAUCAAUGAGAUG